ensembl:lncRNA
CUGGUGGCUCUGUCUUGAGCUGGGCUUCACGCUCGGCUUUCUCGUUGGCCGACUCGACCAGGCGCAGGUGCUCGUUGAAGAUGUCCUUCUUGUCACCCGUGUCCAGCUCGGGGUCGGUGUAGGCCAGCAGGUCAAACUCAUCCCCGUUCAGCAGGUCAUCGAGGUGCGGAUCUGCUGUUUCCAGGCUGUCCAGGUUGUCCAGGUCAUCGUCCCCUUUGGCCACGUCUGGAUCCAGGCUCAGGUUGGCCAAAUCAUCGUCAUCUUCCAGGUCUUUGUGGGAACCGAAGUCAUCGUCCAGAUCGGGCUCCACCGGCACCUCGCAGGGCAGGCGCCCCCCCUCCAGGCUCAGGUGGGUCUUCCCGGGGGCCGGAGCCAGCGCAGGCUCGGCUGCGGGCCCAUCCUUGGGAGCAUCGGGGCGCAGGGAGGAGCCGGAGGACAGCGGGCGCGGGGGGACGUGCUGCAGCUCCAUGCUGGGGCCCGGCAGUGGGGCGGCCGCUUUGGCGUGGGGCUGGUGGUGGCUGUUGCUCAUCUCGGCUCCCUGCGGCGACGCGGGCGGCAGCGGCAGCGGCACCUUCUGCGGCUGCAGCGCCGGCAGCGGCUGCAUGGGCAUGACGGGGGCGCAGAGCGCCGGCGCGGCGCCCUCCUCCCCGGGCAGGAAGAAGCGUGGCCGCGGCGGCUGCGGGAAGGGGGAGCCCAGGACCCCCCCGGGCCCUUUCUGCACGUUGUGGCGCAGCUCGAUGAAGGGGGCGCCCAUGGCGGCGGGCGCGGCGGGCACCGCGUCCCGCGUGCUCAGGCUGCCCACGGCGCUGCCGGUGCCCGGUGGGGCGAAGCGGGACGUGACCGGGAGCCGCAGGGCUGCGGCGGCUGCCUGCUGCUGCUGCUGCUGCUGCUGCCAGAGGUGCUGCUGCGGGGAGGGUGCCGGGAACACCCCGCGCGGGUAGAAGGCUUGGGGGGGGCCCCACCGCCGCCCUGCAAGACACCGCGCAGAUGGUGUAGCCGCUGGUGGGGGCCGUGAGAGCCGCUCGUCCUGUGUGAACGCCGCCGGCACCAUGACGGAGCCGGGCAGCUUCCCGGUGCCCGUGGCCAGGGUCCCCAGGCCGUGCUCCUGUCCUCUACCUGUGCCGCGGGGUACGGGGCCAUGGCGCGGCUCAGCUCGAAGGCCUGGCUGCCGGCCUCGGGUGCCCACGGUGCCGGGGAGGCCGUGGCCGCCGCCGCCGCCGCGCUCUCCUUCUCCUGCCGCAGGCUGUUGCGCUGGAUCUGCUGGCGGAUGAGCAGCUCGCGGAGCCGCUGGCGCUGCUUCUCCAGCUCCGACUGGCUCAUGGUGCCGAGGGCCCCGUCCUGGCUGCCGGGCAGCUCCGCCAGGUCCCGGUUUGGGGGUGCCGAGAGCCCCAUGGCCGCCUCCUCCCUCUUGUCGCCCGCCGGCCCCAGCGCGGCUCGGGGCAGGAAGGGGACGGAGCUGUCCUGCUGCUGCGGGGUGGCCGCGGGCUGCUGCGGCAGCACCGAGGGCGGCCGCAGCGGGGACAGGCUGUAGGUGUCGGCGGCCGCGGCGCUCGGCCCCAGCGGGCUCCCGGCUUGGUGGAACCCGGGGGACGAGGCAUAGGCCGAGCUCUGGGGCUUGCCGGGGACGUAAUGGCUGUUGAUCCCGUGGGGCUGGUGGGACGGGGAGCCCUUGAGCGGC